UACGUAGGGGGCAAGCGUUGUCCGGAAUCAUUGGGCGUAAAGCGCGCGUAGGCGGCCCUGUAAGUCCGUUGUGAAAGUCAAAGGCUCAACCUUUGAAAGCCGAUGGAUACUGCAGGGCUAGAGUCCGGAAGAGGCGAGUGGUAUUCCUGGUGUAGCGGUGGAAUGCGCAGAUAUCAGGAGGAACACCAAUAGCGAAGGCAGCUCGCUGGGACGGUACUGACGCUAAGGCGCGAAAGCGUGGGGAGCGAACAGG
rnacentral:rRNA from 1 species